rnacentral:misc_RNA from 1 species
GAUGAAGAACGCAGCGAAAUGCGAUAAGUAAUGCGAAUUGCAGAAUUUCCGUGAGUCAUCGAAUCUUUGAACGCACAUUGCGCCCGCUAGUAUUCUGGCGGGCAUGCCUGUUCGAGCGUCAUUUCAACCAUCAAGCCCUAGGCUUGCGUUGGAGCCCUGCGGCUGCCGCAGGCUCCCAAAUCCAGUGGCGGGCUCGUCGUCGUACCGAGUGCAGUAAACAUCCUCGCUCAGGGAACGUGACGGGUUCUUGCCGUGAAACCCCCCACAUAUCAAGGUUGACCUCGGAUCAGGUAGGAAUACCCGCUGAACUUAAGCAUAUCAAUAAGCGGAGGA